rnacentral:rRNA from 1 species
UCAGGAUGAACGGCUGGCGGCGUGCCUAACACAUGCAAGUCGAACGAAGCACUGCGGAUGGAGAGUUCGUCAAAAUCUGGCUUUGACUUAGUGGCGGACGGGUGAGUAAUGUGUGAGCAACCUGCCUUUCAGAGGGGGACAACAGUUGGAAACGACUGCUAAUACCGCAUAAUGUAUUGGGAGGGCAUCCUUUUGAUACCAAAGGAGCAAUCCGCUGAAAGAUGGGCUCACAUCUGAUUAGCUAGUUGGUGGGGUAACGGCCUACCAAGGCUGCGAUCAGUAGCCGGACGGAGAGGUUGAACGGCCACAUUGGGACUGAGAUACGGCCCAGACUCCUACGGGAGGCAGCAGUGGGGAAUAUUGGGCAAUGGGCGAAAGCCUACGACCCAGCAACGCCGCGUGAAGGAAGAAGGUCUUCGGAUUGUAAACUUCUUUUAUGAGGGACGAAGGACGUGACGGUACCUCAUGAAUAAGCCACGGCUAACUACGUGCCAGCAGCUGC